rnacentral:rRNA from 1 species
CAUGCAAGCCGAGCGGUAUUUCUUCUUCGGAAGAGAGAGAGCGGCGUACGGGUGCGUAACACGUGUGCAACCUGCCUUUAUCUGGGGAAUAGCCUUCCGAAAGGAAGAUUAAUACCCCAUAAUAUAUUGAAUGGCAUCAUUUAAUAUUGAAAACUCCGGUGGAUAAAGAUGGGCACGCGCAAGAUUAGAUAGUUGGUGAGGUAACGGCUCACCAAGUCUAUGAUCUUUAGGGGUCCUGAGAGGGAGAUCCCCCACACUGGUACUGAGACACGGACCAGACUCCUACGGGAGGCAGCAGUGAGGAAUAUUGGACAAUGGGUGAAAGCCUGAUCCAGCCAUCCCGCGUGAAGGAUGACGGUCCUAUGGAUUGUAAACUUCUUUUGUACAGGGAUAAACCUUCCUACGUGUAGGAAGCUGAAGGUACUGUACGAAUAAGCACCGGCUAACUCCGUGCCAGCAGCCGCGGUAAUACGGAGGGUGCAAGCGUUAUCCGGAUUUAUUGGGUUUAAAGGGUCCGUAGGCGGGCCGAUCAGUCAGUGGUGAAAUCUCAUAGCUCAACUAUGAAACUGCCGUUGAUACUGUCGGUCUUGAGUAAAUUUGAAGUGGCUGGAAUAAGUAGUGUAGCGGUGAAAUGCAUAGAUAUUACUUAGAACACCAAUUGCGAAGGCAGGUCACUAAGAUUUAACUGACGCUGAGGG